rnacentral:rRNA from 1 species
GAUGAACGCUGGCGGCGUGCCUAAUACAUGCCAGUCGAGCGAACGGACGAGAAGCUUGCUUCUCUGAUGUUAGCGGCGGACGGGUGAGUAACACGUGGAUAACCUACCUAUAAGACUGGGAUAACUUCGGGAAACCGGAGCUAAUACCGGAUGAUAUUUUGAACCGCAUGGUUCAAAAGUGAAAGACGGUCUUGCUGUCACUUAUAGAUGGAUCCGCGCUGCAUUAGCUAGUUGGUAAGGUAAUGGCUUACCAAGGCAACGAUGCAUAGCCGACCUGAGAGGGUGAUCGGCCACACUGGGACUGAGACACGGUCCAGACUCCUACGGGAGGCAGCAGUAGGGAAUCUUCCGCAAUGGGCGAAAGCCUGACGGAGCAACGCCGCGUGAGUGAUGAAGGUCUUCGGAUCGUAAAACUCUGUUAUUAGGGAAGAACAUAUGUGUAAGUAACUGUGCACAUCUUGACGGUACCUAAUCAGAAAGCCACGGCUAACUACGU